rnacentral:lncRNA from 1 species
AAGGGAUUUAGGGGUGAGUUACUAAGUCAGUGUGUGUAAAGGGAUUUAGGGGUGAGUUACUAAGUCAGUGUGUGUGUGAAGGGGUUUAGGGAGUGAGCUACUAAGUCAGUGUGUGUGUGAAGGGGUUUAGGGGUGAGCUACUAAGUCAGUGUGUGUGUGUGUGUGUGAAAGGGUUUAUGGGUGAGUUACUAAGUCAGUGUGUGUAAAGGGAUUUAGGGGUGAGUUACUAAGUCAGUGUGUGUGUGAAGGGGUUUAGGGAGUGAGCUACUAAGUCAGUGUGUGUGUGUGUGGGUUUAGGGAGUGAGCUACUAAGUCAGUGUGUGUGUGAAGGGGUUUAGGGGUGAGCUACUACGUUAGUGUGUGUGUGAAGGGGUUUAGGGAGUGAGCUACUAAGUCAG